rnacentral:rRNA from 1 species
UACGAAGGGGGCUAGCGUUGCUCGGAAUCACUGGGCGUAAAGCGCACGUAGGCGGAUUGUUAAGUCAGGGGUGAAAUCCUGGAGCUCAACUCCAGAACUGCCUUUGAUACUGGCGAUCUCGAGUCCGGGAGAGGUGAGUGGAACUGCGAGUGUAGAGGUGAAAUUCGUAGAUAUUCGCAAGAACACCAGUGGCGAAGGCGGCUUCACUGGCCCGGUACUGACGCUGAGGUGCGAAAGCGUGGGGAGCAAACAGG